rnacentral:tRNA from 1 species
GGAGAGUUCGCAUAGUGGUCGAGUGCGCCGCCUUGGAAAGGCGGUAUAUCGAAAGGUAUCGGGAGUUCGAAUCUCCCACUCUCCG